rnacentral:rRNA from 1 species
GAUGAACGCUGCCAGAAUGCUUAACACAUGCAAGUCAACUGUGGCGGACGGGUGAGUAACGCGUAAAGAACUUGCCUCACAGCUAGGGACAACAUUUGGAAACGAAUGCUAAUACCUGAUACUGUGAGAGAGCUUUGCGUCCCAUUAGCUAGUUGGAGAGGUAACGGCUCACCAAGGCGAUGAUGGGUAGCCGGCCUGAGAGGGUGAUCGGCCACAAGGGGACUGAGACACGGCUGUUAUGCCUACGGGAGGCAGCAGUGGGGAUUAAUGGACAACGGACCAAAGUAUGAUCCAGCAAUUCUGUGUGCACGAUGAAGUUUUCGGAAUGUAAAGUGCUUUCAGUUGGGAAGCGGUACCAAAAGAAGAAGCGACGGCUAAAUACGUGCCAGCAGCCGCGGUAAUUC